rnacentral:rRNA from 1 species
AUUGAACGCUGGCGGCAGGCCUAACACAUGCAAGUCGAGCGAGCGGCGGACGGGUGAGUAAUGUCUGGGACACUGCCUGAUGGAGGGGGAUAACUACUGGAAACGGUAGCUAAUACCGCAUCCCAUCAGAUGUGCCCAGAUGGGAUUAGCUGGUAGGUUGGGUAACGGCUCACCUAGGCAACGAUCCCUAGCUGGUCUGAGAGGAUGACCAGCCAAACUGGAACUGAGACACGGGCCAGACUCGUACGCGAGGCAGCAGUGGAGAAUAUUGCACAAUGGGCGCAAGCGUGAUGCAGCCAGGCCGCGUGUGUGAAGAAGGCCUACGGGUUGUAAAGCACUUUCAGCGGGGAGGCGUUACCCGCAGAAGAAGCACCGGCUAACUCCGUGCCAGCAGCCGCGGUAAUUC